rnacentral:misc_RNA from 1 species
UCCAGUUUUGUCAGUCAAAAUGUACUCAACUUGUCCCAGGUCCUCACUUAUUGCUGUGUUUGUUGCAUGGGAUGGACAGCCAGUUUCAUAAUCAAUCAUCUCAGCAUCCCAAUCAAUAAACUUUGCAUAUAAGCUCUUCACAAGAUCCAAAGAUACCUUAAUAGAUAUGGGUAUCAUAAUGGAACAUAGCAACUCGAAUCUUAGAGGGAUUACCAGCAGUUCAUACCAUGGACCUUCAUUUGGAUAUAGAACAUACCAUUUCUUUCUAGC